ACGCACGCUGGCGGCGUGCUUCACACCUGCCAGUCGAACGGAAAGGCCCUGCUUUUGUGGGGUGCUCGAGUGGCGAACGGGUGAGUAACACGUGAGUAACCUGCCCUUGACUUUGGGAUAACUUCAGGAAACUGGGGCUAAUACCGGAUAGGAGCUCCUGCUGCAUGGUGGGGGUUGGAAAUUUUCGGCGGUUGGGGAUGGACUCGCGGCUUAUCAGCUUGUUGGUGGGGUAGUGGCUUACCAAGGCUUUGACGGGUAGCCGGCCUGAGAGGGUGACCGGCCACAUUGGGACUGAGAUACGGCCCAGACUCCUACGGGAGGCAGCAGUGGGGAAUAUUGCACAAUGGGCGGAAGCCUGAUGCAGCAACGCCGCGUGCGGGAUGACGGCCUUCGGGUUGUAAACCGCUUUCGCCUGUGACGAAGCGUGAGUGACGGUAAUGGGUAAAGAAGCACCGGCUAACUACGUG
rnacentral:rRNA from 1 species